AAGGUUACUAUUUUAAUUCUCGUGGCUACAUUAUUUGCUGUUUUAGUCGCCAGCCAUUUCUUUGCUUUUGCAUUGUUUAGUGCAACACGUGUUUGAUUCACUAGUGAUAAACAUUGAUUUUAUUAAUUUUAGUACUUAAUUCUUCAUUUUAAGACUUGGAUAAUCUAUUAAAUCUCUUAUGGUAGUUAAGGCUUCAGUAAUCCAGGAUUAAAAGUUGAAUUAUUUGAAACCCCAUCUUCCUGAUGUAAUUCUGGGUCGCAAUGUGCAGCUUCAAAACUUUCCAGGAUUUAAAAUUAAAUGUUUAAUGGAGAAAAUAAAAGAGUGACUGUUCUACAUAUUGGUUCUAUCGAUUGCUCUGUGGAUGGUAGAGCCAAUAUAACAGUUUGAAAGAUUAAGAAAUUUUGUUGAACAAUCCUAGAGGGGUAUAGUAUAAAGAAAAUGUUCAUUAAUAUUUUUGCAUUUUAAUUCUUGUAUGAGAAGAUUUAUAAAUGGUGUUCUUUUGUAUAGUGUCAUGGCCAUUUUAACCAACAAUAAGUGCCUAAGGAUUUUAUAAAAUCCGUAACAUUCUUUACCUUUUUUAAUAAAUUUGAACAAGUGUGCCAUUCAUGGUUAAGAAUUUUAUAAAA